rnacentral:rRNA from 1 species
AACAAGGUCUCCGUUGGUGAACCAGCGGAGGGAUCAUUACAAGAAGCCGAGAGGCUACUUCAAACCAUCGCGAACCCGUCCAAGUUGCUUCGGCGGCGCGGCAUCCCGUCACCGGGGCGCCGCAGCCCGGCCUCUCCGGAGGUGCGGGGCGCCCGCCGGAGGUACGAAACUCUGUAUUAUAGUGGCAUCUCUGAGUAAAAAGCAAAUAAGUUAAAACUUUCAACAACGGAUCUCUUGGUUCUGGCAUCGAUGAAGAACGCAGCGAAAUGCGAUAAGUAAUGUGAAUUGCAGAAUUCAGUGAAUCAUCGAAUCUUUGAACGCACAUUGCGCCCGGUAGUACUCUACCGGGCAUGCCUGUUCGAGCGUCAUUUCAACCCUCAAGCCCUGCUUGGUGUUGGGGCCCUACGGCUGCCGUAGGCCCUGAAAGGAAGUGGCGGGCUCGCUACAACUCCGAGCGUAGUAAUUCAUUAUCUCGCUAGGGAGGUGCGGCGUGCUCCUGCCGUUAAAGACCCCAUCUUUAACCAAGGUUGACCUCGGAUCAGGUAGGAAUACCCGCUGAACUUAAGCAUAU